rnacentral:rRNA from 1 species
AGCAGCCGCGGUAAUUCCAGCUCCAAUAGCGUAUAUUAAAGUUGUUGCAGUUAAAAAGCUCGUAGUUGAAUUUCGGGGUUAGUAGGUUGGUCAUGCCUCUGGUAUGUACUGGUCUCACUGAUUCCUCCUUCCUGAUGAGCCGUAAUGCCAUUAAUUUGGUGUUGCGGGGAAUUUGGACUGUUACUUUGAAAAAAUUAGAGUGUUUAAAGCAAGCUAACGCUUGAAUACAUUAGCAUGGAAUAAUGAAAUAGGACGUUCGAUCCUAUUUUGUUGGUUUCUAGGAUUGACGUAAUGAUUAAUAGGGAUAGUUGGGGGCAUUAGUAUUCAAUUGUCAGAGGUGAAAUUCUUGGAUUUAUUGAAGACUAACUACUGCGAAAGCAUUUGCCAAGGAUGUUUUCAUUAAUCAAGAACGAAAGUUAGGGGAUCGAAGACGAUCAGAUACCGUCGUAGUCUUAACCAUAAACCUAUGCCGACUAGGGAUCGGAUGAUGUUAAUUUUUUAAUGACUCA